rnacentral:rRNA from 1 species
UACGUAGGGGGCAAGCGUUGUCCGGAAUCAUUGGGCGUAAAGAGCGUGUAGGCGGCCAGAAAAGUCCGCUGUGAAAACUCGAGGCUCAACUUCGAGCUGUCGGUGGAAACUUUCUGGCUAGAGUCCGGAAGAGGAGAAUGGAAUUCCUGGUGUAGCGGUGAAAUGCGCAGAUAUCAGGAAGAACACCGGUGGCGAAGGCGCCACUCUGGGCCGGUACUGACGCUGAGGAGCGAAAGCGUGGGGAGCAAACAGG